CAGCCGCCGCGGUAACACGGAGGGUGCAAGCGUUAAUCGGAAUUACUGGGCGUAAAGCGUGCGUAGGCGGUUCGUUAAGUCUGUUGUAAAAGCCCCGGGCUCAACCUGGGAAUGGCAGUGGAUACUGGCAAGCUAGAGUGUGUCAGAGGAUGGUGGAAUUCCCGGUGUAGCGGUGAAAUGCGUAGAGAUCGGGAGGAACAUCAGUGGCGAAGGCGGCCAUCUGGGACAACACUGACGCUGAGGCACGAAAGCGUGGGGAGCAAACAGGAUUAGAUACCCGGGUAGUCCCUGUCUCUUAUAC
rnacentral:rRNA from 1 species